rnacentral:rRNA from 1 species
AACAAACACCCCCGAGAGUGACAAACACAACAACAACUUCCUUGUGUUACCCUUAAAGAUUCUAAGAAUAUGUCCGUGCAAGCCGGAUUACUCUCGAGCCCAAUAGCUAGCCCAACCACCUAACAAAAAUUAAUCAACAUUAAUAACCCCUCACGCAGGAACUAAC